GUGCUCACUUUGGAAGCACAUAUACUAAAAUUGGAAUGAUACAGAAAAAUUAGCAUGGCCUCUGCUCAAGGAUGACAUGCAAGUUCACGAAGCCUUCCAUAUUAAA
rnacentral:snRNA from 1 species